rnacentral:rRNA from 1 species
AUUGAACGCUGGCGGCAGGCCUAACACAUGCAAGUCGAGCGAGCGGCGGACGGGUGAGUAAUGUCUGGGAAUCUGCCUGAUGGAGGGGGAUAACUACUGGAAACGGUAGCUAAUACCGCAUACCAUCAGAUGUGCCCAUAUGGGAUUAGCUAGUAGGUGGGGUAACGGCUCACCUAGGCGACGAUCCCUAGCUGGUCUGAGAGGAUGAUCAGCCACACUGGAACUGAGACACGGCCCAGACUCCUACGGGAGGCAGCAGUGGGGAAUAUUGCACAAUGGGCGCAAGCCUGAGGCAGCCAUGCCGCGUGUAUGAAGAAGGCCUUCGGGUUGUAAAGUACUUUCAGUCGGGAGGCGUUACCGACAGAAGAAGCACCGGCUAACUCCGUGCCAGCAGCCGCGGUAAUAC